AGUGAACGCUGGCGGUAGGCCUAACACAUGCAAGUCGAACGGCAGCACAGUAAGAGCUUGCUCUUACGGGUGGCGAGUGGCGGACGGGUGAGGAAUACAUCGGAAUCUACUUUUUCGUGGGGGAUAACGUAGGGAAACUUACGCUAAUACCGCAUACGACCUACGAGUGAAAGCAGGGGAUCUUCGGACCUUGCGCGAUUGAAUGAGCCGAUGUCGGAUUAGCUAGUUGGCGGGGUAAAGGCCCACCAAGGCGACGAUCCGUAGCUGGUCUGAGAGGAUGAUCAGCCACACUGGAACUGGGACACGGUCCAGACUCCUACGGGAGGCAGCAGUGGGGAAUAUUGGACAAUGGGCGCAAGCCUGAUCCAGCCAUACCGCGUGGGUGAAGAAGGCCUUCGGGUUGUAAAGCCCUUUUGUUGGGAAAGAAAAGCAGCAGGUUAAUACCCCGCUGUUCUGACGGUACCCAAAGAAUAAGCACCGGCUAACUUCGUG
rnacentral:rRNA from 1 species